CCCGCCACUAUGCCUGUCUGUCAGAGUGACUGAGUAUAAUCCAGUGGAGGCUCAGAUUGACCCGGCUUUAGGAAACAGGGAUGCCCGAAAACAAUGGCUAACUUUGUGCCGAAAAGUUUGGAACAAAU
ensembl:snoRNA